UACAUAGGGGGCAAGCGUUGUCCGGAAUUAUUGGGCGUAAAGAGCGCGUAGGCGGUCCGGUAAGUCCGCUGUGAAAGUCCAGGGCUCAACCCUGGGAUGCCGGUGGAUACUGUCGGGCUCGAGUCCGGAAGAGGCGAGUGGAAUUCCUGGUGUAGCGGUGAAAUGCGCAGAUAUCAGGAGGAACACCAAUGGCGAAGGCAGCUCGCUGGGACGUGACUGACGCUGAGACGCGAAAGCGUGGGGAGCAAACAGG
rnacentral:rRNA from 1 species